CAGUCGCCACGGUAAUACGAAGGGGGCUAGCGUUGCUCGGAAUGACUGGGCGUAAAGGGCGCGUAGGCGGCGGCCAAAGUCAGGCGUGAAAUUCCUGGGCUCAACCUGGGGGCUGCGUUUGAUACUUGAUUGCUAGAGUGGGGAAGAGGGUCGUGGAAUUCCCAGUGUAGAGGUGAAAUUCGUAGAUAUUGGGAAGAACACCGGUGGCGAAGGCGGCGACCUGGUCCUUGACUGACGCUGAGGCGCGAAAGCGUGGGGAGCAAACAGGAUUAGAUACCCCAGUAGUCCCUGUCUCUUAUAC
rnacentral:rRNA from 1 species